CAUGCAUGUCUACGCAUAAACGAAUCUAAAGUGAAGCCGCGAAUAGCUCAUUACAACAGCCGUUGUUUCUUGGAUCUCCGUUUUACUUGGAUAUGUGCUGCAAUUCAGGACUUAAUACAUGCAAUCGAGCCCCGACUUCACACCACGGGCCCACCCUGUUAUCUAGCUCAAAACAAAUCACCCUUCGGCUGUUCACUGGCCGAAUCUGAAUAACUACGCAGAUCGAUUCGGUUUAAUACCGGCGACGUAUCCUUCAAGUGUCUGCCUUAUCAACUUUCGAAGGUAGUUUCUACGCCUACCAUGGUUUCGACGGGUAACGGAGAAUUAGGGUUCGACUCCGGAGAGGGAGCCUGAGAAACGGCUACCACUUCUAAGGAAGGCAGCAGGCACGCAAAUUACCCACUCUCGGCACGAGGAGGUAGUGACGAAAAAUUAACGAGAUAACCCGCUAUCGCGAGUUAUCAUCGGAAUGAGUACAAUUUAAAUCCUUUAACGAGGACCUAGCGGAGGGCAAGUCUGGUGCCAGCAGCCGCGGUAAUUCCAGCUCCGCCAGUGUAUAUCUAUGCUGCUGCGGUUAAAAAGCUCGUAGUUGGAUCUUCGUGAUGAGCCCUGUCCAUCUCUUAGAUGUGCACAGACGUUCAUCACUGAACCGCUAGUUUUCCAUUGUGCUCUUCAUUGAGUGUCUUUGGUGACUACCAUGUUUACUUUGAAAAAAUUAGAGUGCUCAAAACAAGCGACUUGCUUGAAUAUUCGUGCAUGGAAUAAUAGAAUAGGCUUUUGGCUCUAUUUUGUUGGUUUUCGGAGCACAAGAGAAUGAUUAAGAGGGACAGACGGGGGCAUUCGUACUCCGACGUUAGAGGUGAAAUUCUUGGAUCGUCGGAUGACGCACUACCGCGAAACGCAUUUGCCAAGAAUGUUUUCAUUAAUCAAGAACGAAAGUUAGAGGUUCGAAGGCGAUCAGAUACCGCCCUAGUUCUAACCGUAAACGAUGCCAACUAGCGAUCUGCUGGUGUUUUUAUCAGACCCAGCACGGAGCUUACCGGAAACGAAAGUCUUCAGGUUCCGGGGGAAGUAUGGUUGCAAAGCUGAAACUUAAAGGAAUUGACGGAAGGGCACCACCAGGAGUGGAGCCUGCGGCUUAAUUUGACUCAACACGGGAAAACUCACCCGGCCCGGACACCGUAAGGAUUGACAGAUUGAGAGCUCUUUCUUGAUUCGGUGGGUGGUGGUGCAUGGCCGUUCUUAGUUGGUGGAUUGAUUUGUCUGGUUUAUUCCGAUAACGAACGAGACUCCAACCUACUAACUAGUGGGCGAAUCUUUACGUUCGCAACACUUCUUAGAGGGAAAAGCGGUGUUUAGCCGCAUGAGAAGGAGCAAUAACAGGUCUGUGAUGCCCUUAGAUGUUCGGGGCUGCACGCGCGCUACACUGAAAGAAUCAACACGCUAGCAAACCUAGUUUGACAUGGCUGGGUAACCUUUUGAAAAAUCUUUCGUGAUUGGGAUCGGGACUUGCAAAUGUGACCCUUGAACGAGGAAUUCCCAGUAAGUGCGAGUCAUCAGCUCGCGCUGAUUACGUCCCUGC
rnacentral:rRNA from 1 species